rnacentral:rRNA from 1 species
CGAAGAACCUUACNAAAUCAUGACAUCCUNGGACAACUNCUAGAGANAGAGCCUUCCCCUUCGGGGGAUUNNAGUGACAGGNGGUGCAUGGUGGUNGUCAGCUCGUGUCGUGAGANGUUGGGUUAAGUCCCNCUANGAGCGCNACCCUUAAGCUUAGNUGCNAUCAUUAAGUUGGGCACUCUAAGUUGACUGCCGGUGACAANCCGGAGGAAGGUGGGGAUGACGUCNAAUCAUCAUGCCCCUUAUGAUUUGGGCUACACACGUGCGUACAAUGGACAAUACAAAGGGCAGCGAAACCGUCGAGGUCAAUGCAAAUCCCAUAAACGUUGUUCUCAGUUCGGANUUGUAGUCUGCAACUCGACUACAUGAAGCUGGAACUCGCUAGUAAUCGUAGAUCAGCAUGCU